rnacentral:rRNA from 1 species
AUACGGAGGCUGCGAGCGUUACUCGGAGUCACUGGGCGUAAGGCGUCCGUAGGCGGUCGGGUAAGUCGGGUGUGAAAGCCCCGGGCUCAACCUGGGAAGUGCACCCGAUACUGCUCGACUCGAGUGCGGGAGAGGAUGGCGGAAUUCCCGGUGUAGCGGUGAAAUGCGUAGAGAUCGGGAGGAACACCAGUGGCGAAGGCGGCCAUCUGGCCCGCAACUGACGCUGAGGGACGAAAGCGUGGGGAGCAAACAGGAUUAGAUACCCCAGUAGUCC